rnacentral:misc_RNA from 1 species
AAAGUCGUAACAAGGUUUCCGUAGGUGAACCUGCGGAAGGAUCAUUAACACGUAUCCAACGUUAAAACAACCCUGUGAACUUUCAGCACCCGGUGCUUGCAGAGAUUAACUUCUUAGCGAGUACGGUGAGGCAUGUGACCUGGCACCUCCAAGCAAUCAAAUCUCUGUCAGUGGGAAUUGGUUGUGCAAGGGUGGCGCAGUAAACGAUCGUUGGAGGCCCACACGGCCGACGACCGGGUCAGCGAGCUCUGCUCCCCUAAAACCACUAAAAAAUGUUCAGAGCUCUCUUGAAAAAGAUUGAUGCUAUAAAAACUAAACAACUGUUAACAAUGGAUAUCUUGGUUCUC